rnacentral:rRNA from 1 species
UACGGAGGAUGCAAGCGUUAUCCGGAAUUAUUGGGUUUAAAGGGUCCGUAGGCGGACAAUUAAGUCAGGGGUGAAAGCCUGCAGCUCAACUGUAGAACUGCCCUUGAUACUGGAUGUCUUGAAUCGUUGUGAAGUAAUUAGAAUGAGCAGUGUAGCGGUGAAAUGCAUAGAUAUUACUCAGAAUACCGAUUGCGAAGGCAGAUCACUAACAACGUAUUGACGCUGAGGGACGAAAGCGUGGGGAGCGAACAGG